UACGGAGGGUGCGAGCGUUAAUCGGAAUUACUGGGCGUAAAGCGCGCGUAGGCGGCGUGAUAAGCCGGUUGUGAAAGCCCCGGGCGCAAACUGGGAACGGCAUCCGGAACUGUCAAGCUAGAGUGCAGGCGAGGCAGGUAGAAUUCCCGGUGUAGCGGUGAAAUGCGUUGAGAUCGGGAGGAAUACCAGUGGCGAAGGCGGCCUUCUGGACUGACACUGACACUGAGGUGCGAAAGCGUGGGUAGCAAACAGG
rnacentral:misc_RNA from 1 species